rnacentral:tRNA from 1 species
GAAAGCCUGUUAUACUACUAACAUCUCCUGAAUGCAACUCAGACACUUUAAUUAAGCUAAAACUUC